GACGUAGGGCGCGAGCGUUGUCCGGAUUUAUUGGGCGUAAAGAGCUCGUAGGCGGCUUGUUGCGUCGACUGUGAAAACCCGCGGCUUAACUGCGGGCUUGCAGUUGAUACGGGCAGGCUAGAGUUCGGUAGGGGAGACUGGAAUUCCUGGUAUAGCGGUGAAAUGCGCAGAUAUCAGGAGGAACACCGGUGGCGAAGGCGGGUCUCUGGGCCGAUACUGACGCUGAGGAGCGAAAGCGUGGGGAGCGAACAGG
rnacentral:rRNA from 1 species